CCUACGGGAGGCAGCAGUGAGGAAUAUUGGUCAAUGGGCUUACGCCUGAACCAGCCAAGUCGCGUUAGGGCAGACUGCCCUACGGGUUGUAAACUGCUUUUAUACGGGAAUAACGCGCCUUACGUGUAGGGCUUUGCAUGUACCGUAUGAAUAAGGACCGGCUAAUUCCGUUCCAGCAGCCGCGGUAAUACGGAAGGUCCGGGUGUUAUCCGGAUUUAUUGGGUUUAAAGGGAGCGUAGGCCGCAUGUCAAGCGUGCUGUGAAAUGUCCGGGCUCAACCCGGGCCUUGCAGCGCGAACUGGCUUGCUUGAGUCCGCGGAAAGCAGGCGGAAUUCGUCGUGUAGCGGUGAAAUGCUUAGAUAUGACGAAGAACCCCGAUUGCGAAGGCAGCUUGCUGCAGCGGAACUGACGCUGAUGCUCGAAAGCGCGGGUAUCGAACAGGAUUAGAUACCCUAGUAGUC
rnacentral:rRNA from 1 species